rnacentral:rRNA from 1 species
CAGUCGCCGCGGGAAUACGAAGGGGGCUAGCGUUGCUCGGAAUGACUGGGCGUAAAGGGCGCGUAGGCGGCGAUCAAAGUCAGGCGUGAAAUUCCUGGGCUCAACCUGGGGGCUGCGCUUGAUACUUGGUUGCUUGAGUGGGGAAGAGGGUCGUGGAAUUCCCAGUGUAGAGGUGAAAUUCGUAGAUAUUGGGAAGAACACCGGUGGCGAAGGCGGCGACCUGGUCCUUUACUGACGCUGAGGCGCGAAAGCGUGGGGAGCAAACAGGAUUAGAUACCCCUGUAGUCCCUGUCUCUUAUAC